GUUAAGCGACUAAGCGUACACGGUGGAUGCCCUGGCAGUCAGAGGCGAUGAAGGACGUGCUAAUCUGCGAUAAGCGUCGGUGAGGUGAUAUGAACCGUUAUAACCGGCGAUUUCCGAAUGGGGAAACCCAGUGUGUUUCGACACACUAUCAUUAACUGAAUCCAUAGGUUAAUGAGGCGAACCGGGGGAACUGAAACAUCUAAGUACCCCGAGGAAAAGAAAUCAACCGAGAUUCCCCCAGUAGCGGCGAGCGAACGGGGAGGAGCCCAGAGCCUGAAUCAGUGUGUGUGUUAGUGGAAGCGUCUGGAAAGGCGCGCGAUACAGGGUGACAGCCCCGUACACAAAAAUGCACAUACUGUGAGCUCGAUGAGUAGGGCGGGACACGUGGUAUCCUGUCUGAAUAUGGGGGGACCAUCCUCCAAGGCUAAAUACUCCUGACUGACCGAUAGUGAACCAGUACCGUGAGGGAAAGGCGAAAAGAACCCCGGCGAGGGGAGUGAAAAAGAACCUGAAACCGUGUACG
rnacentral:rRNA from 1 species